GAUGAACGCUGGCGGCGUGCCUAAUACAUGCAAGUCGAGCGAACAGAUGAGGAGCUUGCUCCUCCGACGUUAGCGGCGGACGGGUGAGUAACACGUGGAUAACCUACCUAUAAGACUGGGAUAACUUCGGGAAACCGGAGCUAAUACCGGAUAAUAUAUUGAACCGCAUGGUUCAAUAGUGAAAGACGGUUUUGCUGUCACUUAUAGAUGGAUCCGCGCCGCAUUAGCUAGUUGGUAAGGUAACGGCUUACCAGGGCAACGAUGCGUAGCCGACCUGAGAGGGUGAUCGGCCACACUGGAACUGAGACACGGUCCAGACUCCUACGGGAGGCAGCAGUAGGGAAUCUUCCGCAAUGGGCGAAAGCCUGACGGAGCAACGCCGCGUGAGUGAUGAAGGUCUUCGGAUCGUAAAACUCUGUUAUUAGGGAAGAACAAAUGUGUAAGUAACUAUGCACGUCUUGACGGUACCUAAUCAGAAAGCCACGGCUAACUACGUG
rnacentral:rRNA from 1 species